rnacentral:lncRNA from 1 species
CCAAGUUGCAAAACGUAAACACCUUUGAUUAUUUAUUUCAAGUGUUCUCCCUAAGAAGCCAUAAUAAAAAGGCAAAUAGUUUUUGUUUUAAUAGAAAAAUACAAAAAAAAAUUGAGUUGCAAUCAAAAUGUGAUACAUGACAUUUAGGCCAUUAGCGUUCAAAACUCUGAAAAUGGCCACCAAAUUCCACAUUGAUCAAUGUAUAAAACCAAAAAGCAAAAGGAAACAGACAUACAAGUCUCUGUUCAACCCAACUUAGCCUUGAGGGAAGCAAUGGGAAUCUUGGAAACAACCUUUUCAUCGAACACAAGGUAAUGUUUGUGCAACUCCUUGAACGCUUUCUCUGCGAACGGAUCAACCUUGUCCUCGUGUUUCUCGUACAUCAUUGGCACUGUGUGCAACAACACGAAGCAGAUGUACACCAGAGUCAGGAAGUUGCACCAGUUCCCCACCACCGAGAUGAUCCAUAGACCAACCACAACCUAAAUACAACAUUAACAAUGUAAAUGUGCUACGAACUUAAAAACCAUUUUCUAGAUUGUUUCUUGAGGCUGCAAAUGUCAGUAACAAGGAAGUAGUAAACAUACCAUGAGGAACUUUUUAUUGUUGACGAGAGUUCUCCUUGGGAGGAGAAGUCUGCGGCGGCGAGAUUGAGUUGUAGGAUGAAGAAGUCGAAAAGGAAUAAACUUUGGAAGAAGAAGAAGAGACGGUGCGUUGCAGAGAUGCGUGCUAAGGUAGGGGUUUGAUUGAAAGCUCUGUUUAGGUUGUAUUGUAGUAUUUUGAGUUGUUGAUUGUAUUAUAGGAGCCUGAGAGAUUUGAACAAGCUGAUCGAGAGGCUGAUGAGUGGAGGGAAAAGGAAAUGGCCAAGGACAUGGCUAACAGAAAGGUAAUAAGUGGUGAAGCGAUCAAAUGGUUUCCUCGUGUUGGUAUCUGAACGGGUUCUGUCUGUUUUCAGGUUGAUGAGAUGAAGGCAAUUGAGAAGGUCAAGGCGAAACGAGAAAGAAGGAGAUUAGAACCCGAGGUGAGACAUCUCAAUGUUAUCUUACGAAUUCAUGUUUGGUUACGGUAAACAGUCUCAUGGUUUGAAUGUUUUCAGCUUGAACUAGCUCUAAUUGUUGAGGAAAUGCAAGAGUUGCGUUCGCUAAGAAUCGAGAAACUAAAGAAGCAAGGUAUGUCAAUAAUCUGAAGUAGUGCAAUGCGUUCUGAUACCAAGACUAGGACUCUCAAGUAAAGGGGUAAUAUCAUAUGGACACUGUGCAGGGCAUUUUUUUCCGGAAGAAGAUGACAAGUUCUUCGAUAGUGUUCGCGCUGCUGUGGAGCAAGAGGAGAAUCAAGCUCAGUCUGUAAUCAACACAGAGAACGAAGAGAAUGUCAUUGCCUCCGAGGAAGCCACUAAUCUAACAACCGAUAACAAAAUCAUCAACAAUGACACGGAUAAAGAAAGCAAUACUGUCUUAGGGGCGGCUUGUGAAAAGAAAAUAGAAGCUCCUCCUCCUGACAAUGGUGUCGACAAUGUAUCAAAUUUACCGGUGGAAUGUUAUCACUACUACUACGGAAGCAAUUUGGACAUGGGAAGGCUUAUUGAGGUGGGUUUUGUUUAACUCUCUGUCUAAGUUUAUUUAUUAGAUCAAAGAUUUAGCUGAGUUAUGGUUUUAAAAUACAGAUUAGAAGAGAAUGGGAUGCAUAUCUGAGUCCAGGAGGAAGGUAAUAUCAGCAUUUAUUUGUUUCCUCACACUUUUAGACAAGCUUUAAAUGUUUCUCUUGAGAAAAUGGUCUUGUUUUCAUCUAUACAGCCGGAUUCCUGGACAUUGGGUGCAGCCAUCGGCACCAGCUAAUGAGAUUUGGGCUUCUUGUCUUGUUAAAAACUCCAAAGAGUGAUCUUAGUUAGUAGGCGGUCGUAUUCUAGUAGACAGGACAAUGUUAAUCUUAAACUAGAGUUCCAUAAAUAUUGUUGCUGGAGAAAUCUUAAGUUAGUGUCGAUCCUGUUUUAAAACAUACCAACUCAUGGAUAACGAUUUUGUUAGUUUGAUGAAUGGAUUCUGUAGUAGCUUAAACAAAGACUGUAGUAGCUUAAGGAAAAAUUUGUAGGAGAAUAUGAAGGUUGAAACAGAGGUUCACACUUGAUGUAAUAAGGGUUUUUUUUGAUGAAUAAAUUUAACAUUCAUUCAAAAAAAAAAAGAAUGGAUUCUGUAAGCCAGGACAAUGCUGAUCUUAGCUCGUAUAUAAUGGAUUCUCACUCAUACAUAACUAUUUCUUUUGUCCGAAAACAAAACUAUUGUUGAUUUAAAUAAUCUUGUCAGCAACAGUUCCAAAAACUGCUGAAGAUGAGAUCUGUAGAUCGAACGAAUUAUCGGUAUUUCUAGCUUAUAAUAAAUGCCUCAAUGGACCCAAUAUUUUGCUUUUAAGAUAGUAUUAUUCAGCUAAUUAACAAUUAAUUCAAUCUUCAAAAUAAUAAAUUCGUUAAUUCAACUCAAGAACAUUAAAUUGUUGUUUGUAUUUAAAUUAUGUUAUGCAUAUUUCACUAGCCAGGUAAGUUUACGAUGAAAUACUCAGUUGUUAGGUUAAGAACUUUGAAAUAGUGUAUAUGAGUUGGUCAAUUGUCCUGUUCAAUUGGCAUGCCGGUCUUGUCGGAAGUGCAGAUUCAUGUAAUAAUCGUGACAAGGCAACACAGAAGUCCUCCCAAGUGUACGAAUCAAAUAUCUUUCUACCACUCCCAUCCACUCAAAAAAUGUCAUAUUAAAGGGUAUUUGGAUAAAAAAGAAAACAAAAAUGUGGGGAAGAUGAUUGUUGAGCUAUUCAAUAGAGAAAGUGAAUCACAACUGCCCAUCUGCCCCUAAUUGAUUUUGCAUGGGAAAUCUUUCGUACAAAGUGCAUUAUUAGCACUAAGCCGAUACACACUAUCCCUGCUUUUCUCGAAACAUACACAUCAACAAUUUACACCAAGAACUCACGACAAUCCUGUAACAACAGAUAAUCAACGAUCUCUUGGAGAGACUUAAUCUACGAAGGUUAAAUAAAUUUGUUAGAGAAGCCUCAUUUCAUGAGCUUUACUCGCUUCCCUGCUGGGUCCUUCGAUCUUCUUAAUUUAAAAAAAAGGAAAAUUUAAUCGAAAAAUUAAAAGAAAUCAGGAAUUGAAACCACAGAUUCCGACAAAUCUCCGAUAAUGAAUUAUACGAAGGUAAACUUGGCUUGAAUACGCAUUGAAUUUACAGCGUUUCACCCAUAGGUCCUUCGUUAACAAUUAAAAAAUUAGAAAUGCUCAGCGAAUACGAACCAUAAUGUAAUCGGAUUUCAUCUCGCGAACGAUCAACUAUUUUUUCCGAUAUUAACUCUUCAUCGCAUCUCAAAGUAAAGAAAAGAAAUUUCAAUAACAUAACAAAAGUUGACAGAAAAAAAAAAGAGAGAUCUAAUUCGAAUGCGGCGAGGAAGAGGAGCUGAUGAAGUUAUUUUGUAUCGUUAGAUCUGUUUAUAUAGAGGCGUGUAUUAGGGCUACUGCGACGUAUCAUAGCCGUUGGAUUAGGCCCAUAUUUAUGAUCUGGACUUUUACUUCAAGCCCAUCUUUACGCAACGAAUAUGUGCUGUUGAAGACUGUGGCCCAAGUAACUUAUUGGGCCUGAAUUAUAAAUCACAGAAUGGUCACCCGUAGUUGAUGACCCGGCAAAUCAUGAAUAUGUUUGCGAAAAAAACACCUUUGGUUAUUUGAUUUUUCUUCAGUUUGGCUUGGUCAAUUUAUACCAAGUUGCAAAACGUAAACACCUUUGAUUAUUUAUUUCAAGUGUUCUCCCUAAGAAGCCAUAAUAAAAAGGCAAAUAGUUUUUGUUUUAAUAGAAAAAUACAAAAAAAAAUUGAGUUGCAAUCAAAAUGUGAUACAUGACAUUUAGGCCAUUAGCGUUCAAAACUCUGAAAAUGGCCACCAAAUUCCACAUUGAUCAAUGUAUAAAACCAAAAAGCAAAAGGAAACAGACAUACAAGUCUCUGUUCAACCCAACUUAGCCUUGAGGGAAGCAAUGGGAAUCUUGGAAACAACCUUUUCAUCGAACACAAGGUAAUGUUUGUGCAACUCCUUGAACGCUUUCUCUGCGAACGGAUCAACCUUGUCCUCGUGUUUCUCGUACAUCAUUGGCACUGUGUGCAACAACACGAAGCAGAUGUACACCAGAGUCAGGAAGUUGCACCAGUUCCCCACCACCGAG